rnacentral:rRNA from 1 species
CGGAACGUGCCCAGUAGCGGGGGAUAACUACGCGAAAGCGUAGCUAAUACCGCAUACGCCCUACGGGGGAAAGGGGGGGAUCGUAAGACCUCUCACUAUUGGAGCGGCCGAUAUCGGAUUAGCUAGUUGGUGAGGUAAAGGCUCACCAAGGCGACGAUCCGUAGCUGGUUUGAGAGGACGACCAGCCACACUGGGACUGAGACACGGCCCAGACUCCUACGGGAGGCAGCAGUGGGGAAUUUUGGACAAUGGGGGAAACCCUGAUCCAGCCAUUCCGCGUGUGCGAUGAAGGCCUUCGGGUUGUAAAGCACUUUUGGCGGGAAAGAAAUCGGUCGGGCUAAUACCCUGGCCGGAUGACGGUACCCGCAGAAUAAGCACCGGCUAACUACGUGCCAGCAGCCGCGGUAAUACGUAGGGUGCAAGCGUUAAUCGGAAUUACUGGGCGUAAAGCGUGCGCAGGCGGUUCGGAAAGAAAGAUGUGAAAUCCCAGGGCUCAACCUUGGAACUGCAUUUUUAACUACCGGGCUAGAGUGUGUCAGAGGGAGGUGGAAUUCCGCGU